UGCGUAGGCGGAUUAUUAAGUCAGUGGUGAAAGUCUGCGGCUCAACCGCAGGAGUGCCAUUGAUACUGGUAGUCUUGAGUACAGUAGAGGUAGGCGGAAUUUAUGGUGUAGCGGUGAAAUGCAUAGAUACCAUAAAGAACACCGAUAGCGUAGGCAGCUUACUAUACUGUAACUGACGCUGAGGCACGAAAGCAUGGGGAUCGAACA
rnacentral:rRNA from 1 species